CCUGGCUCACGAUGAACGCUAGCUACAGGCUUAACACAUGCAAGUCGAGGGGCAGCAUGGUCUUAGCUUGCUAAGGCCGAUGGCGACCGGCGCACGGGUGAGUAACACGUAUCCAACCUGCCGUCUACUCUUGGACAGCCUUCUGAAAGGAAGAUUAAUACAAGAUGGCAUCAUGAGUCCGCAUGUUCACAUGAUUAAAGGUAUUCCGGUAGACGAUGGGGAUGCGUUCCAUUAGAUAGUAGGCGGGGUAACGGCCCACCUAGUCUUCGAUGGAUAGGGGUUCUGAGAGGAAGGUCCCCCACAUUGGAACUGAGACACGGUCCAAACUCCUACGGGAGGCAGCAGUGAGGAAUAUUGGUCAAUGGGCGAGAGCCUGAACCAGCCAAGUAGCGUGAAGGAUGACUGCCCUAUGNGUUGUAAACUUCUUUUAUAAAGGAAUAAAGUCGGGUAUGGAUACCCGUUUGCAUGUACUUUAUGAAUAAGGAUCGGCUAACUCCGUGCCAGCAGCCGCGGUAAUACGGAGGAUCCGAGCGUUAUCCGGAUUUAUUGGGUUUAAAGGGAGCGUAGAUGGAUGUUUAAGUCAGUUGUGAAAGUUUGCCGCUCAACCGUAAAAUUGCAGUUGAUACUGGAUAUCCCGAGUGCAGUUGAGGCAGGCGGAAUUCGUGGUGUAGCGGUGAAAUGCUUAGAUAUCACGAAGAACUCCGAUUGCGAAGGCAGCCUGCUAAGCUGCAACUGACAUUGAGGCUCGAAAGUGUGGGUAUCAAACAGGAUUAGAUACCCUGGUAGUCCACACGGUAAACGAUGAAUACUCGCUGUUUGCGAUAUACAGCAAGCGGCCAAGCGAAAGCGUUAAGUAUUCCACCUGGGGAGUACGCCGGCAACGGUGAAACUCAAAGGAAUUGACGGGGGCCCGCACAAGCGGAGGAACAUGUGGUUUAAUUCGAUGAUACGCGAGGAACCUUACCCGGGCUUAAAUUGCAGAUGAAUUACGGUGAAAGCCGUAAGCCGCAAGGCAUCUGUGAAGGUGCUGCAUGGUUGUCGUCAGCUCGUGCCGUGAGGUGUCGGCUUAAGUGCCAUAACGAGCGCAACCCUUGUUGUCAGUUACUAACAGGUUCCGCUGAGGACUCUGACAAGACUGCCAUCGUAAGAUGUGAGGAAGGUGGGGAUGACGUCAAAUCAGCACGGCCCUUACGUCCGGGGCUACACACGUGUUACAAUGGGGGGUACAGAGGGCCGCUACCACGCGAGUGGAUGCCAAUCCCCAAAACCUCUCUCAGUUCGGACUGGAGUCUGCAACCCGACUCCACGAAGCUGGAUUCGCUAGUAAUCGCGCAUCAGCCACGGCGCGGUGAAUACGUUCCCGGGCCUUGCACACAC
rnacentral:rRNA from 1 species